UGUCUGUCUCUCUGUCUGUCUGUCUGUCUCUCUGUGUGUCUAUCUGUCUCUCUGUGAGAGUGUUUCAGUUCACAACAACAGUUGAUGAUGGAGUCUGUGCUGGUCUGUCUGAUCCUCUCUCUCAGUCUCCGGUGUCAGCAGCACGUCUCCGCUCUGCCGGACUCAGUGCAGGUGAAGGUUGGUGAGGACUUCGUCCUGCACUGCCCCCUGUUGGACUCCUCCUCCUCCAACACCUCCUCCAACACCUCCUCCACCCUCAGCUGGUACCGGAGGGCAGCGGGUCGUCCUCCGGAGCUGUUGCUGAGCUUCAGCUCCAAGAACUCUUCCGACGUGACGUUCGGAGCCGCCGUCGGUCCGCAGAAAGUCUCGACUUCAGCCGACGGAUCGCUGCUGCUGCUCGACUCCAGAGAGAGUGACUCAGCAGUUUAUUACUGCAGCAUCACUCAGGGAGGAGGAGAAGGACAAGAAGGAGAAGAAACGAGGCCAUGACUGUUUUCAUAUGAUGUCAUGCAACAGAAUAAAUUUACAUCUCA